rnacentral:misc_RNA from 1 species
CCGUAUUCUUGCGAAAGCAAAGUUUACGCUAAAAAAAACCAGAGAUAAAACGCGACUGUCAGAGAACCGCUUGAGGCGCGCGGGUUUACGGCUGUAUGGCCUCUGCGCGCCGAUGGUUAUUAUGUCGUACCAAAUCAUGAGACGUGCCGGGAGAUGGCCCAAAACAGGGAGGCCAGAUGAAGUGUCGGUAUCGGACGAAAACACCCAUAAGAUGUGCGCUAACCCAGUGCGCUCGACCCAGAGCUUUGAAUGGUCGAGUCGCGCGGGGCACGUUCUUCGACGGUGAGCUGAUAGUAAUGCGGKGGGAGGGCGAGAGUCCUCCGCCAACCGCGCCGACGCGACCCGGGUGGUCAAUCAUACCGUCUAACCCAUGCCUCCCAACUCUCUCACGGGAGUUGGGUGUAAAAGGCGACCAGAUGGUUAGGGAGUUUAAAACCGCGCUAACAGCGAGGCGGAGAGAGAGAGAGAAAAAAAAUCAUACAGAGAUGAUGCGAUGCGCUCGCGCGCGUCGCGUCGAUUUUUUUUUCUCCUCCUUUCUCCUCUCCUGGUGGACUCCCAAUUUUCUUCGGAAGUAUUCCUCUUUGACUGCUUGUCGCCGUACACGAGAUCUCCUCGGAG